UUUAAAUCAGAGUCUAUCCAGGUCUGAUCUACAUUAUAAAGAUAGGUUGGCUCUCACUGAAAAACAUUCUCAGCUUCAGGAACAGCUUAGAAGUAUGACUAGACCAACUUCCUUGAGCAAAGAAUCUUUGGAACCUGGGCAUUUUGGAAAUGUGAGAAGAACAUCUAGAGACAAGCUUGAGUUGGCACCGUAUCCUAUUGAUG
rnacentral:misc_RNA from 1 species